rnacentral:rRNA from 1 species
GACGAACGCUGGCGGCGUGCUUAACACAUGCAAGUCGAACGGAAAGGCCCUGCUUUUGUGGGGUGCUCGAGUGGCGAACGGGUGAGUAACACGUGAGUAACCUGCCCUUGACUUUGGGAUAACUUCAGGAAACUGGGGCUAAUACCGGAUAGGAGCUCCUGCUGCAUGGUGGGGGUUGGAAAGUUUCGGCGGUUGGGGAUGGACUCGCGGCUUACCAGCUUGUUGGUGGGGUAGUGGCUUACCAAGGCUUUGACGGGUAGCCGGCCUGAGAGGGUGACCGGCCACAUUGGGACUGAGGUACGGACCAGACUCCUACGGGAGGCAGCAGUGGGGAAUAUUGCACAAUGGGCGGAAGCCUGAUGCAGCAACGCCGCGUGCGGGAUGACGGCCUUCGGGUUGUAAACCGCUUUCGCCUGUGACGAAGCGUGAGUGACGGUAAUGGGUAAAGAAGCACCGGCUAACUACGUG